GAUGAACGCUGGCGGCGUGCCUAAUACAUGCAAGUCGAGCGAACAGACGAGGAGCUUGCUCCUCUGACGUUAGCGGCGGACGGGUGAGUAACACGUGGAUAACCUACCUAUAAGACUGGGAUAACUUCGGGAAACCGGAGCUAAUACCGGAUAAUAUAUUGAACCGCAUGGUUCAAUAGUGAAAGACGGUUUUGCUGUCACUUAUAGAUGGAUCCGCGCCGCAUUAGCUAGUUGGUAAGUUAACGGCUUACCAAGGCAACGAUGCGUAGCCAACCUGAGAGGGUGAUCGGCCACACUGGAACUGAGACACGGUCCAGACUCCUACGGGAGGCAGCAGUAGGGAAUCUUCCGCAAUGGGCGAAAGCUUGACGGAGCAACGCCGCGUGAGUGAUGAAGGUCUUCGGAUCGUAAAACUCUGUUAUUAGGGAAGAACAAAUGUGUAAGUAACUAUGCACGUCUUGACGGUACCUAAUCAGAAAGCCACGGCUAACUACGUG
rnacentral:rRNA from 1 species